rnacentral:pre_miRNA from 1 species
CAUAAUCAACGAGAAUGUCAACCUGCCGCGAAGGUUAUGAGUGGUCUGUUGUUCCUCUUUGUAGAGC